rnacentral:rRNA from 1 species
AAUAGCCUAAAGGCUGAACCAGCAACUUGGAAGAAUGUAUUUUUGAACUAUGUUCUAUAAAAUUCUGGGUAGAGAUUUGAUACUGACAUUUCCUAUCUAUAAGUCUUGACCAAGUCACGUGCCAGCAGUCGCGGUAACACGUGGAAGACUAGUGUUAUUCAUCUUUAUUCGGUUUAAAGGGUACCUAGACGGUCAAUAAAGCCUUUUAAGGUACUAAUUGACUGGAGUUUAAUAUGAAAAGAGGGCAAAAAAUGGUAAUAUCCCUUGGGCGGGAUGUUACAUUAACGUUUUUUGCCUGGUAUGUAGUACCGUGAGGGGAGAGAUAAAAUUCUUUGAUCCCACUAAGACUGGUAACGGCAAAAGCAACCUUUUAUGUAAAAACUGACGUUGAGGGACGAAGGCUAUACAUCGCGAAUAGGAUUAGAUACCCUGGUAGUGUGAGCAGACAAUGAUGAAUGUCAUAUAUAAGUAAUAAAAAAAAUUUAUGUAUAAACGAAAGUGUAAGCAUUCCACCUUAAGAGUAAUGUGGCAACGCAGGAACUGAAAUCACUAGGCCGUAUCUGAAACCAGUAGUGAAGUAUGUUGUUUAAUUUGAUAACCCACGGAAAACCUUACCACAAUUUGUAUAUAAAUAUAAGUAUAUUUUUACAGGAGUUGCACGGCUGUCUCCAGUUUAUGUCGUGAGAUUUUGGUUAGUUCCAUUAAAUAAACGUAAGCCCUUAUUUUAUUUCAUAUAAAAUAGUUCGCCACUAUAUUGGAUGUGAUAACAGGGACUAAGACAAGUCAUCAUGACCCUAACAUUG